GAGUGAACGCUGGCGGCGUGCCUAACACAUGCAAGUCGAGCGAAGCGGCAGCUGUAGCAAUACAGUAUGUGCUUAGCGGCAGACGGGUGAGUAACACGUAGGCAAUUUACCUCUUAGCGGGGGAUAGCCCGCCGAAAGGCGGGGUAAUACCGCGUACGAUCACGGACCGGCAUCGGUUUGUGAUGAAACAUCCGCAAGGACGGCUGAGAGAGAGGCCUGCGGCCUAUCAGCUAGUUGGUGAGGUAACGGCUCACCAAGGCUACGACGGGUAACCGACCUGAAAGGGCGAACGGUCACACUGACACUGAGACACGGGUCAGACUCCUACGGGAGGCAGCAGUGAGGAAUUUUGGACAAUGGGGGCAACCCUGAUCCAGCGACGCCGCGUGAGGGACGAAGGUCUUCGGAUUGUAAACCUCUUUUAUUCGGGAAUAAGAAACUCGGGGAAACUCGGGGAGUGAAUGUACCGAAUGAAUAAGCCACGGCUAACUUCGUGCCAGCAGCCGCGGUAAUACGAAGGUGGCAAGCGUUACUCGGAAUUACUAGGCGUAAAGGGCAGGUAGGUGGUUUGGUAAGUCUGUUGUGAAAGCUCCCGGCUUAACUGGGAGAGGUCAACAGAAACUACCAGGCUUGAGUAUGGGAGAGGGUACUGGAAUUCCCGGUGUAGCGGUGAAAUGCGCAGAGAUCGGGAGGAACACCUAUGGCGAAAGCAGGUACCUAGACCAUUACUGACACUCAGCUGCGAAAGCUAGGGGAGCAAACAGGAUUAGAUACCCUGGUAGUCCUAGCCGUAAACGAUGCACAUUAGGCGUGGGGGGUAUCGACCCCCUCCGUGCCGACGCAAACGCAUUAAAUGUGCCGCCUGGGGAGUACGGCCGCANGGGUUGAAACUCAAAG
rnacentral:rRNA from 1 species